rnacentral:rRNA from 1 species
UACGGAGGGUGCAAGCGUUAUCCGGAUUCACUGGGUUUAAAGGGUGUGUAGGCGGAUAUUUAAGUCAGUGGUGAAAUCUCCGGGCUCAACCCGGAAACUGCCAUUGAUACUAUUUAUCUUGAAUAUCGUUGAGGUUGGCGGAAUAUAUCAUGUAGCGGUGAAAUGCAUAGAUAUGAUAUAGAACACCGAUUGCGAAGGCAGCUAACUAAGCGAUUAUUGACGCUGAGGCACGAAAGCGUGGGGAUCAAACAGGA